rnacentral:misc_RNA from 1 species
GGAAGUAAAGUCGUAACAAGGUUUCCGUAGGUGAACCUGCGGAAGGAUCAUUAUCGUACAAAAUGUGAGGGGCAUGCGAGGGCUGUCGCUGACCCAAAAGUCGUGCACGCCCGAGUGUGUCCUCCUGCAUAAUAAUCCAUCUCACCCUUUGUGCAUCACCGCGUGGGCACCCUUCGGGAUCAUCUCGGAGGGGGGCUCGCGUUUUCACACAAACCCCCCUUUUAAAAGUGUAGAAUGACCACAUUUAUCCAAUCAAUACAACUUUCAACAACGGAUCUCUUGGCUCUC